CUCAUCCCUCCUGGAACGGUUCCUGGCCACACGCGACGCGAGGAGACGGACGCUCCGCUAGCGGCGCGCGAGGCGACGCGGCGGCGGCGCAAGGUGGCGGCGUGGCGGUGCAGCACAUCUCCGACGGCCACCACCGCGACGGUGACCGUUGCCUUCUCGCCACCGGGAUCUAGAUCUACUCCUGCGUCCGCCCGCCCGGCCAUCGCUGCACGAUCCGCGAGAUCCGGCGACAGCCGCGGCCGUCUUGCGAGAGUCUGAUUGGUAUUUGUUUGGAGUCCGGCGGUUGCUCUCACUGCUGCCACCCUCUCGAUCUGAUUGGUAUUUGUCUCUAUUCUUCGAUGACUAGCAUAUGCGUGUGGUAUUGGCAUAUGUUUGGAGAUGUGGGUAUGGUUUGCAUGCUAGGUUCCUGCUGUCUGCCUCGCUCUGUCCAGUAUAGUUUUUUAUGUUUGCGAGCCUAGGACUUUUCCUGAAUAGCAUAUAGCAUCAGCUUUGAGUAGAAUCUUCCUACAAUUUUCUUUUCCCAUUGCAUUGGUGAUACCGACAGCUCCUUUUGCUUCACAUCUGUCAUGUGCAGUUUAUUGUGAUGACAGUAAUCCAUCUUUGUGUUCAGUAUCUGUUAGUGUUUUCUUUUUGUUUUGAUUCAGUUAGCAGUCGGCAGUCAGUUAGCUUAGUCAGUACUGAUCUAAUCUUUCGGUUUCUAGGUUCAUUCGGCUGGACUGUGCUUCUGAUUUAUAGUUUCUGUAACCCAAACCAUGACUGAACGAAAACUCAUUUGUUUCCUAUAUUCAGUUAGCAGUCGGCAGUCAGUUAGCUUAGUUGAAGUGACCUCACCUGUGGGUGGUCACUUGCUUGGGAUCGGACCCUCCUCGGGUAGCUAUGUUCAUUUUGCAUAUGCUCCAACAUUGUCUUUCUGAGAGACAUAUUUGGAUUCGGUGUUGAUUGAAGCACAAAUUCAUCUUCCUUAUAGUAGAGUAUUGUAAUUUUUACAGCCGAUGAGAAUGUUAGUUAGACAGGUGCUACAGCUGUACUAUGGAACAUGACAUCUGUCCUAGUCAAUCUUACUUCAGGCUAUCAGCUUCUUGUUUGUUUGAUUCCUUUAUCUCUUUGAGGGGAAAAGUAUGCGUGCUAGUUAAUCACCUGUUAGUUCCUGUUCUAGAAAUUCCAGGUUUUGUAUCAUAUCUGUUGCCAUGUUUCCUUUGAUCUUUACCUUUCCUUUUUAUGGUAACUGAUUUUAGAUUUCCAUGCAUCAUGCAUUUACCAUGACAUGAUGAUGACCUAGCAGGUAAAGUCGCUGUCUACUUACCUCAUGAAUUCACUGUCUACUUACCUCAUAAAUUCGCUGUCUACUUAUACUAUUGUUUGGUCUGCCUAAGGGCAUAUGGUGUGGGCUUAUUGGUACUGUUUGAUCAAAAGGCAACUGGAUUGAUGCAACUUAUUUGCAACUUCACCUAGUGUGUGUGCCUGAAGCCUGAAACUAACAAUAAACGCAUCAACUUAUUAUGCAAUCAGAACUAUGGAGCUCCUGUCAUUUCUUUAUGUGUCAAGACCAUAGUGAUUGAAUGUGUUAGUUUAGCACUGAGCAACAGGUAUACUUUGAAGCUAAUGGGUGAAUAUUUUGGUUUCGAAUUUUUUAGAGUUGAAGAAAGAUGGUGCUUGGUCGAGCAAGGUUCUUUUGUACAAGUUAUUAUGAAAGAAUUGAGAUAUUGAGUUGACCUAGUGAACGUACUGAAAAUAGCUAUUAGUUCUAGUUCAUCUAUGUAAUAUAUCUAGAAUUGUUUGAUUGAUCUGACUAUCCAGAAUUUUAAUGUUAAAUUUUCAACAUGAUUCUAUGCGAUCAUCUUGCCUGAUUUCUUGCCUUAUUUCUGAUUCGCCUGGUGCUGCAGCUACAGCCUAGAGCUAGAAUAGAGUAGAGCUGCAGUAAUGGCCUGGGUAGCUUUGAGUUAAUAAGCACUCCUUGUAUAAAAGAUAAUGAGUUAGUAAUUUAAUAAGCAAAGCUUCUACUAGCAGUGAAAAUAUACCACACUCACGCCUUGUUGAUUUUCUAUCUCCUUAAUUACUUAAUUAGACAGCAUAGCUAGCUCCUACUACUGUUUCUGUUAGCAAAAUUUACAAACUACUUUGUAUGUCUUGCAAAUCAAGAGACCCCAAGCAUAGAAAACUCUUUUCAUGAAGUUGGAUGGUCAUUCUAAAUUUCAGGACCAUUUUACCCAUGAGCCAAAUUCUGAAAUGGUUCUGAACCACGAGCUGAUGAUGCUGUUUGUGUUGAUCGAGAGCUGGAGCUGCCCCAAUCGUACUAGUUUAAGCAAAUUCUAUUGCCCCAAUCAUAUCACAGACUCACAGAUGCUAGAUCCAUUGCUGCUUAUGCUAAUUCACAAAAGGAUCUCCAAGUUUUCACUGUAGUGAUUUCUUGAUGCAAAUUGAUCUUACUGUCAUGUGUGGUCCUACAGCAAAAUUCAUCCAUGUCAGGUUAUUUGUUUGCUUAAUUAAGAUGCUAAUGUUACAUUAGCAUUCAAAGAUGUUAAUGCUAGUAUUUGCUUUAACUAUUACAUUAUAUCUGUUCUUGGAUAGAAGCUUUUGAUGUGCUAACUUUUUCUUGUUACUUGUAGAUCCCACCAGCACCAUUAAGAGUUGGGGAAGGUGAACCACCCCCUUCUUGGGAUCCGGUACCAACUCCAAUAGUUCUGCAAUGAAUAUCUCAUUGAGAGAUCGUAUUAGAAAGAGGAGGGAGGAAGAAGAUGAUGACAUGAUGAUGUUUUCUAUUCCCUGCCUUAUAUCUGAUGGGUUCUGCUAGAGAAGGAGGAGUAAAGAAGAAACGUCAUACAUCAGAAGAAACAGGAGAGGUUAAGGUUCGUCGACUCCUUGAGGGAUAUAUCAAGAACUGUCAAGUUAUAUUUAGGAUGGAACCCCACAUCUUCAAAGAGUUGGCGACUUAUCUUAGAAGGAAAAGACUUGUUGUUGAUACAAGGAUUACGGUGGAGGAAAAGUUGGGUUUCUUCCUAUGCAUGUUAAGUCGCAACGCCUCAUAUGAGGAUCUUGUAGUGACCUUUGGGCACAGCAACGACACCUUCCAUCGUCACAUCAACCACUUCUUCAAGAAGGUCAUUCCCACACUUUCUCGUCGUUUCCUCUAGUCCCCCGAUCCUAAUCAAGUGCAUCCGAAAAUCCAAGAUAAUCCUAGAUUCUAUCCAUUCUUCAAGAAUUGUCUUAGUGCCAUUGAUGGAACUCAUAUCCCCGUUUCCAUAUUCCCUAAGAACCAUUCUCCUUUUAGGAAUAGAAAGGGCACACUAAGCAUUAAUGUGAUGGUGGCAUGUGAUUUUGAUCUCAACAUCACUUUUAUUUCUAGUGGAUUGGAGGGAUCAGCUACAGAUUCCAGAGUGCUAAGAUCGGCUAUGAGCAAGGGCUUCCAGGUACCUCCAGGCAAAUUCUAUCUGGUUGAUGGAGGGUAUGCAAAUACUCCAUCUUUCCUCGCUCCAUAUCAAGGGGUUCGAUACCAUUUGAAAGAAUUUGGAGCUGGACAUCGAAGACCACAAAACUCAAAGGAGCUCUUCAACCACCACCACGCACUACUGAGGAACCAUGUCGAAAGGAUUUUGGGAGUGCUUAAGAAGCGAUUCCCCAUUCUCAAAGUUGCCACAUUCCAUACAUUAGAAAAUCAAGUGAAAAUACCUAUAGCUGCAUCCAUCUUCCACAAUCUAAUCCAAUUACUUCAUGGAGAUGAGGAAUGGUUGGAUCAUCAGCCGAUAAUAUCGAUCCAACACACUUUGUUUCUUUACCCAAUGGCGAUCAAAACAAUGACUCAGGCACUGCACAAGGCAAUGCUUUGAGAGAUACCAUCGCCCAAGAAAUGAAAACAAAGAGUGGACUGGAACCCAACUCUUGAGAAAUCACUUGUUGAAAUUCUGCAUGAGUAUAAAGAUUGUGGCUAUAGAAGUGACAACGGUUGGAACACUAAAGGGUGGAACAAGAUGGUGAAGGAGUUCCAUCUGAGAAACAAGUCUGUCUCGUACACAAAGGCACAAAUUCAAGAUAAAGAAUGUCUUAAGAGAGACUACAAGAUGCUCAAAGCGGCAAGAAUGCAAAGUGGGUCAAAAUGGAAUGAACAAAGAAAUAUGGUUGAAGGAUCAGCCACAAUGUGAGAGAACCUCAUGGUGACUUUCCUCAAAAUCAAGAAGUUUCAAAACAACAAGGCAAGCUUUCUGCUCUUUGAUGCUUUGGGAGAACUCUAUGAUGGUCAUCUAGGGACAUACAAUUUCACUUCUAUUGAGUCACAACGUGUGGAAGAGCCCCUUCAACAAAUUGAUGUUGUAGAGGAAGAAGCUGAGGAAGAAGCCCUAUAGGAAAUUCAUGAGAUACGUGAUGAAGAGGAUGAAGAAAAGGAUGCAAGAGAUAAAGAAGAGGAGGCAAGAAGUGGACAACGAAGAAUGGCUGCAUCAAGAAAGAAACCAGAAAAGGAAGGACAAAGGCCUAGAAAGAGUGCAAAAAUUGAAGCUAUGAUGGAGAGAUUCCUUGAAAUGAGAACAAAGCAAGCAGAAGAUGAAGCUCAACAGCUAGCAAGAGAAAAUGAGACAAGAGAAAAGGAGGCAAGAGAUAAGGAGGCUGCUAAAGGUGAUGAAUACUCCAUCAAAAGGUGCAUAUCGAUUAUCAACACAAUGGAAGUGACCAAACAGGAAAAGGCCAAAGCUUAUGCAAUCUUCACCAAGAGCAAAGAAAACAAAGAGACUUUUAUUUGUGCUAGUGAAGAAGAUGAAGAAUCCGCUUUGAUUUGGCUUAGGAAUGAGAUGGCCUAGCAGUCGAAGAAGAAUCGUCUGCUGCAUUGUGGCGUAGGCUUCUCAAGAUGAUCACCCUGAUGUGCUUCGGUGUAGUGCAGGAGAUGUUUACCUUCUUGGGUUCUAAUUUAAUUUUCAACUCAUCAAGACUCUGGUCAUGUUCAUACAUGUAAUUUAAUUUUUACCUCAUCAAGCAUGGUUUUAUGUAAUGUGAGGAUAAUCAUAUGUUGCUUUGUGACUGAGAUUUUUGGCACUAACGGUUUAUUCCCUGUAUUAA